AAGUCGUAACAAGGUUUCCGUAGGUGAACCUGCGGAAGGAUCAUUAACACGUAUCCAAACGUUAAAACCCCCAACCUUCAUCCUGCUCUUGUAACCCGCGUAGUUUGCAAUCUCUGAUAAAUCAUAGCCCGGAAAGUUGUAGUUAUUCAGAGUACGUGCGAACAUUGGAACAGUUACAAUCGAGCGGUUGUUCUAGAGGCAAUGUUUCCCCAAGCACUCAGUGUCGGAAAGUGUCAUUGAUUGUGUAGACCUUACACUCGGGCAGGAGCUUUGCCAAAAGGUCCCCAUGCCCCCUAAUAACCCCACAGUCUAAUGUGAAGCUCAAUGUAAUACAUUGGGUAAAAAAACCGAACAACUGUUAACAAUGGAUAUCUUGGUUCUC
rnacentral:misc_RNA from 1 species